rnacentral:rRNA from 1 species
UAAGGAAUAUUGGACAAUGGGCGCAAGCCUGAUCCAGCCAUGCCGCGUGCAGGAAGAAGCAUCUAUGGUGUGUAAACUGCUUUUGUACGGGAAGAAACACUCCUUCGUGAAGGAGCUUGACGGUACCGUAAGAACAAGGAUCGGCUAACUCCGUGCCAGCAGCCGCGGUAAUACGGAGGAUCCAAGCGUUAUCCGGAAUCAUUGGGUUUAAAGGGUCCGUAGGCGGUUUAGUAAGUCAGUGGUGAAAGCCCAUCGCUCAACGAUGGAACGGCCAUUGAUACUGCUAGACUUGAAUUAUUAGGAAGUAACUAGAAUAUGUAGUGUAGCGGUGAAAUGCUUAGAUAUGACAUGGAAUACCAAUUGCGAAGGCAGGUUACCACUAAUGGAUUGACGCUGAUGGACGAGAGCGUGGGGAGCGAAC